rnacentral:rRNA from 1 species
AACGAACGCUGGCGGCAGGCCUAACACAUGCAAGUCGAAGGAGCAAGCCCUUUCUGGGGGGUGGACACUGGCGCACGGGUGAGUAACGCGUGGGAAUCUACCCGGUCGGGGAGGAUAACCACUGGAAACGGUGGCUAAUACCGCAUACGCCGUAUUGGGAAAUGCUUUAGCGCCCUGGGAUGAGCCCGCGUUAGAUUAGCUAGUUGGUGGGGUAACGGCCUACCAAGGCGACGAUCUAUAGCUGGUCUGAGAGGAUGAUCAGCCACACUGGGACUGAGACACGGCCCAGACUCCUACGGGAGGCAGCAGUGGGGCAAUAUUGGACAAUGGGCGCAAGCCUGAUCCAGCCAUGCCGCGUGCGUGAAGAAGGCCUUAGGGUUUCGUAAAAUGCGCUUUCACUGGUGAAGAUGAUGACGG